UGUGGGAAAUGCUAUUCUUUAUGAAUGUGUUCAAACCAUCAUGAACAUUGAAGAUAACAGAGGCUUACGUGUGCUUGCUAUUAAUAUCUUGGGAAGAUUCUUGUCAAAUUGUGACAACAAUAUCAGAUAUGUUGGAUUGAACAUGCUUAUGAAGGGUAUUGUAGUGGACGCUAAAGCAGUUCAGAGGCAUAGAGCAACAAUUUUGGAAUGUGUAAAGGAUUCAGAUGCUUGAAUUCAGAAAAGGG